UGAAUCGCGUCGACGCACGAACUUUUGCCGCUGCGGUUCGGCCCCAAAAAAACGGUAUUGCCGGAAAGCUCGAUGUCCUCCCGCUCGAUCAGGUAGAAGUCGAUGAGAGACAGGCGGACGAUCUGCGGGGUCUGGAGUUCUGGCUCGCUCAUGCUUCGGUCUUCUCCUGACCCGGCCCUUCUUCGCCGCCGGCGUCGGAUUCGGGGCGU
rnacentral:misc_RNA from 1 species